UUGGCUUGUUAAAGUCAGGGGUAUCAUUAG
rnacentral:piRNA from 1 species